AUAUUAUUAGGUUGGUGCAAAAGUAAUUGCGGUUUUUGCCACUAAAAGUAAUGGGAAAAACUGCAAUUACUUUUGUACCAACCUAAUAGCUGUGUAGCUUUCUA
ensembl:miRNA